GCCAGGCCUGGUGGCUCAUGCCUGUAAUCCCAGCUACUCAGGAGGCUGAGAUGGGAGGAUCGCUUGAGCCCAGGAGGUCGAGGCUGCAGUGAGCUAUGAUUGCACCACUGCACUCCAGCCUGGGUGACAGAGUGAGACCCUGUCUCAA
ensembl:misc_RNA Metazoa_SRP Metazoan signal recognition particle RNA